GACGUAGGGCGCGAGCGUUGUCCGGAUUUAUUGGGCGGAAAGAGCUCGUAGGCGGCUUGUUGCGUCGACUGUGAAAACCCGCGGCUUAACUGCGGGCUUGCAGUUGAUACGGGCAGGCUAGAGUUCGGUAGGGGAGACUGGAAUUCCUGGUGUAGCGGUGAAAUGCGCAGAUAUCAGGAGGAACACCGGUGGCGAAGGCGGGUCUCUGGGCCGAUACUGACGCUGAGGAGCGAAAGCGUGGGGAGCGAACAGG
rnacentral:rRNA from 1 species